CCUACGGGAGGCAGCAGUGAGGAAUAUUGGUCAAUGGGCGGAAGCCUGAACCAGCCAAGUAGCGUGCAGGAUGACGGCCCUACGGGUUGUAAACUGCUUUUAUACGGGAAUAACGCGCCUUACGUGUAGGGCUUUGCAUGUACCGUAUGAAUAAGGACCGGCUAAUUCCGUGCCAGCAGCCGCGGUAAUACGGAAGGUCCGGGCGUUAUCCGGAUUUAUUGGGUUUAAAGGGAGCGUAGGCCGCAUGUCAAGCGUGCUGUGAAAUGUCCGGGCUCAACCCGGGCCUUGCAGCGCGAACUGGCGUACUUGAGUCCGCGGAAAGCAGGCGGAAUUCGUCGUGUAGCGGUGAAAUGCUUAGAUAUGACGAAGAACCCCGAUUGCGAAGGCAGCUUGCUGCAGCGGAACUGACGCUGAUGCUCGAAAGCGCGGGUAUCGAACAGGAUUAGAUACCCUAGUAGUC
rnacentral:rRNA from 1 species